rnacentral:rRNA from 1 species
UUACGAUCAUAUCACGCUGAGGCACCACUUCUCCUAAAAUCACCGAAGUUAAGCAACGUUGAGCCUUGUUAGUACCUAGAUGGGUGACCGCUUGGGAACAUCAGCUGCUGUAAG